rnacentral:lncRNA from 1 species
AUCACCUGGGUGAUCCGUGCAGAGAUAUGUCACAAUGUCCCCUGUAGGCAAAGCCUAGGCAAGAGUUACAUCACCUUUCUCAUCAGUUCAGAGAUAUGUCAAAACGCCCCUGUAGGCAGAGCCUAGAAAAGAGUUACAUCACCUAGUUGAUCGGUGCAGAGAUAUUUCACAAUACCCCCUGUAGGCAGAUCCUAGACAAGAGUUGCAUCACUUGGGUUAUCAGUGCAGAGAUAUUUCACAAUGCCCCCUGUAGGCAGAGCAUAGAGAAGAGUUGCAUCACCUGGGUGAUCAGUGCAGAGAUAUGUCACAAUGUCCCCUGUAGGCAAAGCCUAGGCAAGAGUUACAUCACUUUUGUCAUCAGUUCAGAGAUAUGUCAAAACGCCCCUGUAGGCAGAGCCUAGACAAGAGUUACAUCACCUAGUUGAUCAGUGCAGAGAUAUUUCACAAUACCCCCUGUAGGCAGAG